rnacentral:rRNA from 1 species
UCAAGCGAACAAGUGCAUGUGGUGGAUGCCUUGGCGAUCACAGGCGAUGAAGGACGCGGUAGCCUGCGAAAAGCCCCGGGGAGCUGGCAAACAAGCUUUGAUCCGGGGAUGUCCGAAUGGGGAAACCCACUCCGUAUGGAGUAUCCAUGACUGAAUACAUAGGUCAUGUGAAGCGAACGCGGUGAACUGAAACAUCUAAGUAACCGCAGGAAAAGAAAUCAACCGAGAUUCCCAAAGUAGUGGCGAGCGAAAUGGGAUGAGCCUUGUACUCUUUAUUUGUAUUGUUAGCCGAACGCUCUGGAAAGUGCGGCCAUAGCAGGUGAUAGCCCUGUAGGCGAAAACAGUAUGAAAGAACUAGGUGUACGACAAGUAGGGCGGGACACGUGAAAUCCUGUCUGAAGAUGGGGGGACCAUCCUCCAAGGCUAAAUACUCGUGAUCGACCGAUAGUGAACCAGUACCGUGAGGGAAAGGCGAAAAGAACCCCGGGAGGGGAGUGAAAUAGAUCCUGAAACCGCAUGCAUACAAACAGUCGGAGCCUCGUAAGGGGUGACGGCGUACCUUUUGUAUAAUGGGUCAGCGACUUACGUUCAGUAGCAAGCUUAACCGUAUAGGGCAGGCGUAGCGAAAGCGAGUCCGAAUAGGGCGUUCAGUUGCUGGGCGUAGACCCGAAACCAGGUGAUCUAUCCAUGGCCAGGAUGAAGGUGCGGUAACACGUACUGGAGGUCCGAACCCACUAACGUUGAAAAGUUAGGGGAUGAGCUGUGGAUAGGGGUGAAAGGCUAAACAAACCUGGAAAUAGCUGGUUCUCUCCGAAAACUAUUUAGGUAGUGCCUCGUGUCUCACCUUCGGGGGUAGAGCACUGUCAUGGUUGGGGGGUCUAUUGCAGAUUACCCCGCCAUAGCAAACUCCGAAUACCGAAGAGUGCAAUCACGGGAGACAGACAUCGGGUGCUAACGUCCGGUGUCAAGAGGGAAACAACCCAGACCGCCAGCUAAGGUCCCCAAAUAUGGCUAAGUGGGAAACGAAGUGGGAAGGCUAAAACAGUCAGGAGGUUGGCUUAGAAGCAGCCACCCUUUAAAGAAAGCGUAAUAGCUCACUGAUCGAGUCGUCCUGCGCGGAAGAUGUAACGGGGCUAAGCCAUAUACCGAAGCUGCGGAUGCGUGCUUGCACGCAUGGUAGGAGAGCGUUCCGUAAGCCUGCGAAGGUGCCUUGUAAAGGGUGCUGGAGGUAUCGGAAGUGCGAAUGCUGACAUGAGUAGCGAUAAAGGGGGUGAAAGGCCCCCUCGCCGUAAGCCCAAGGUUUCCUACGCAACGUUCAUCGGCGUAGGGUGAGUCGGCCCCUAAGGCGAGGCAGAAAUGCGUAGCUGAUGGGAAGCAGGUCAAUAUUCCUGCACCGUCGUUAGAUGCGAUGGGGGGACGGAUCGCGGAAGGUUGUCCGGGUGUUGGACGUCCCGGUCGCUGCAUUGGAGAAGGCGCUUAGGCAAAUCCGGGCGCAGGAUUCAAGGGUGUGGCGCGAGCGACUUCGGUCGCGAAGCAAUUGGAAGUGGUUCCAAGAAAAGCCUCUAAGCUUCAGUCUAACGAUGACCGUACCGCAAACCGACACAGGUGGGCGAGAUGAGUAUUCUAAGGCGCUUGAGAGAACUCGGGAGAAGGAACUCGGCAAAUUGGUACCGUAACUUCGGGAUAAGGUACGCCCUUGUAGCUUGACCAGCCUGCGCUGGAAGGGUGAAGGGGUUGCAAUAAACUGGUGGCUGCGACUGUUUAAUAAAAACACAGCACUCUGCAAACACGAAAGUGGACGUAUAGGGUGUGACGCCUGCCCGGUGCCGGAAGAUUAAAUGAUGGGGUGCAAGCUCUUGAUUGAAGUCCCGGUAAACGGCGGCCGUAACUAUAACGGUCCUAAGGUAGCGAAAUUCCUUGUCGGGUAAGUUCCGACCUGCACGAAUGGCGUAACGAUGGCCACACUGUCUCCUCCCGAGACUCAGCGAAGUUGAAGUGUUUGUGAUGAUGCAAUCUACCCGCGGCUAGACGGAAAGACCCCAUGAACCUUUACUGUAGCUUUGCAUUGGACUUUGAACCGAUCUGUGUAGGAUAGGUGGGAGGCUAUGAAACCGGAACGCUAGUUUCGGUGGAGCCGUCCUUGAAAUACCACCCUGGUUUGUUUGAGGUUCUAACCUUGGUCCGUGAUCCGGAUCGGGGACAGUGCAUGGUAGGCAGUUUGACUGGGGCGGUCUCCUCCCAAAGGGUAACGGAGGAGUACGAAGGUACGCUAGGUACGGUCGGAAAUCGUGCUGAUAGUGCAAUGGCAUAAGCGUGCUUAACUGCGAGACCGACAAGUCGAGCAGGUGCGAAAGCAGGUCAUAGUGAUCCGGUGGUUCUGUAUGGAAGGGCCAUCGCUCAACGGAUAAAAGGUACUCUGGGGAUAACAGGCUGAUACCGCCCAAGAGUUCAUAUCGACGGCGGUGUUUGGCACCUCGAUGUCGGCUCAUCUCAUCCUGGGGCUGUAGCCGGUCCCAAGGGUAUGGCUGUUCGCCAUUUAAAGAGGUACGUGAGCUGGGUUUAAAACGUCGUGAGACAGUUUGGUCCCUAUCUGCCGUGGGCGUUGGAUAUUUGAAGGGGGCUGCUCCUAGUACGAGAGGACCGGAGUGGACGAACCUCUGGUGUACCGGUUGUGACGCCAGUCGCAUCGCCGGGUAGCUAUGUUCGGAAGAGAUAACCGCUGAAAGCAUCUAAGCGGGAAACUCGCCUUAAGAUGAGAUAUCCCUGGAGGCUUGACCUCCUUGAAGGGUCGUUCGAGACCAGGACGUUGAUAGGUCGGGUGUGUAAGCGCAGUAAUGCGUUCAGCUAACCGAUACUAAUUGCCCGUAAGGCUUGAUC